AUGGAAAGUCAUGGACAAAUAGUAGACUGCGCUGUUUGGGGCAGCCUUUGUGUGUGUGUGUUUAUGUAAAUACAGGGACCUAGGCCUGUAAUGGAUGGAGUAAGAAAGGAGGAGGGGAGGAGAAUAGGAUGCAUCACAAUGGGGGACUUGGGCUGCACUUUCACGGAUACCAUGCUGCUGUCCUGCCACAAAAACCCAUCUUUUCAAUACCAAUAUUCUCUCAGGAGUGUCAUAUGACUGCAAAUUGUGGGACGGGACGAUCUCAGAAGAAUAAAUUUUAGGUGACCUAAAAGCCAAUGGAAUGACUCCUGGUGAGGGUAGCAGGGCAUGCACAGGAGGGAUGGGAGAGUGAGGAGGAUGCAUCUGAGAGAUACUGGAAGAGACAU